rnacentral:rRNA from 1 species
UACGUAGGUGACCAGCGUUGUCCGGAUUUACUGGGCGUAAAGAGCGCGCAGGCGGUCGUUCAAGUCGAGUGUGAAAGCCCCCGGCUCAACUGGGGAGGGUCACUCGAUACUGAUCGACUUGAAGGCAGGAGAGGGAAGCGGAAUUCCCGGUGUAGUGGUGAAAUGCGUAGAUAUCGGGAGGAACACCAGUGGCGAAGGCGGCCAUCUGGGACAACACUGACGCUGAGGCACGAAAGCGUGGGGAGCAAACAGG